rnacentral:rRNA from 1 species
GAGUUUGAUCCUGGCUCAGGAUAAACGCUGGCGGCGUGCCUUAUGCAUGCAAGUCGAACGGUAGCCGGCUUCGGCCGGUGAGAGUGGCGAACGGGUGAGUAACACGUAGGAACCUGCCCAGAAGUGGGGAAUAACCCCGCGAAAGCGGGGCUAAUACCGCAUGUGGUCUUCGGACUAAAGCUUUUGCGCUUCUGGAGGGGCCUGCGGCGGAUUAGCUUGUUGGUGGGGUAACGGCCUACCAAGGCGACGAUCCGUAGCUGGUCUGAGAGGAUGGUCAGCCACACUGGGACUGAGAUACGGCCCAGACUCCUACGGGAGGCAGCAGCAAGGAAUUUUGCGCAAUGGGCGAAAGCCUGACGCAGCAACGCCGCGUGGGGGAUGAAGGCUUUCGGGUUGUAAACCCCUUUUGCGAGGGAAGAAGAUCUGACGGUACCUCGCGAAUAAGCCACGGCUAACUACGUGCCAGCAGCCGCAGUAAU